UACGGAGGGAGCUAGCGUUAUUCGGAAUUACUGGGCGUAAAGCGCACGUAGGCGGCUUUGUAAGUAAGAGGUGAAAGCCUGGAGCUCAACUCCAGAAUUGCCUUUUAGACUGCAUCGCUUGAAUCAUGGAGAGGUGAGUGGAAUUCCGAGUGUAGAGGUGAAAUUCGUAGAUAUUCGGAAGAACACCAGUGGCGAAGGCGGCUCACUGGACAUGUAUUGACGCUGAGGUGCGAAAGCGUGGGGAGCAAGCAGG
rnacentral:rRNA from 1 species